rnacentral:tRNA from 1 species
GGGCCUGUAGUCUAACGGCAGGACGUGGCGCUUACAACGCCGAGAACCAGGUUCAAUUCCUGGCAGGCCCA